GAUGAAGAACGCAGCGAAAUGCGAUAAGUAAUGUGAAUUGCAGAAUUCAGUGAAUCAUCGAAUCUUUGAACGCACAUUGCGCCCGCCAGUAUUCUGGCGGGCAUGCCUGUCUGAGCGUCAUUUCAACCCUCAUGCCCCUAGGGCGUAGUGUUGGGGAUCGGCCAAAGCCCGCGAGGGACGGCCGGCCCCUAAAUCUAGUGGCGGACCCGUCGUGGCCUCCUCUGCGAAGUAGUGAUAUUCCGCAUCGGAGAGCGACGAGCCCCUGCCGUUAAACCCCCAACUUUCCAAGGUUGACCUCAGAUCAGGUAGGAAUACCCGCUGAACUUAAGCAUAUCAAUAAGCGGAGGA
rnacentral:misc_RNA from 1 species